rnacentral:rRNA from 1 species
GGACCCUACUGCUAUCGGGGUGGGACUAAAACAUGCGAGUCGAGCGUCUUCAGGCUAUGGUGAAGGCGCGGCGAACGGCUCAGUAACACGUGGCUAACCUACCCUUUGGACGGGGACAACCACGGGAAACUGUGGCUAAUCCCCGAUAGAUGAGGAGGCCUGGAAUGGUUUCUCAUCCAAAAGGCGUUUAGGCCAUGCUUCUAGGCGCCGCCAAAGGAUGGGGCCGCGGCCGAUCAGGUUGCUGGUGAGGUAACGGCUCACCAAGCCUAUAACCGGUACGGGCCGUGAGAGCGGGAGCCCGGAGAUGGGCACCGAGACAAGGGCCCAGGCCCUACGGGGCGCAGCAGUUGCGAAAACUCCGCAAUACGCGAAAGCGUGACGGGGCUACCCCGAGUGCCGUCCGCUGAGGAUGGCUUUUCCACGGUGUAAGGAGCCGUGGGAAUAAGGAGAGGGCAAGUCUGGUGUCAGCCGCCGCGGUAAUACCAGCUCUCCGAGUGGUAGGGACGAUUAUUGGGCUUAAAGCGUCCGUAGCCGGCCCGGCAAGUCUCCCGUUAAAUCCAGCGACCUAAUCGUUGGGCUGCAGGAGAUACUGUUGGGCUAGGGGGCGGGAGAGGCCGACGGUAUUCCCGGGGUAGGGGUGAAAUCCUAUAAUCCCGGGAGGACCACCAGUGGCGAAGGCUGUCGGCUAGAACGCGCUCGACGGUGAGGGACGAAAGCUGGGGGAGCGAACCGGAUUAGAUACCCGGGUAGUCCCAGCUGUAAACGAUGCGGGCUAGGUGUUGGGGUGGCUACGAGCCACUUCAGUGCCGCAGGGAAGCCAUUAAGCCCGCCGCCUGGGGAGUACGGCCGCAAGGCUGAAACUUAA